rnacentral:rRNA from 1 species
UACGGAGGGGGCUAGCGUUGUUCGGAAUUACUGGGCGUAAAGCGCACGUAGGCGGCUUUGUAAGUUAGAGGUGAAAGCCCGGGGCUCAACUCCGGAAUUGCCUUUAAGACUGCAUCGCUAGAAUUGUGGAGAGGUAAGUGGAAUUCCGAGUGUAGAGGUGAAAUUCGUAGAUAUUCGGAAGAACACCAGUGGCGAAGGCGGCUCACUGGACCGGUACUGACGCUGAUGCGCGAAAGCUAGGGGAGCAAACGGG